UACGUAGGGUGCAAGCGUUGUUCGGAAUCACUGGGCGUAAAGCGCACGUAGGCGGACUCUUAAGUCGGUGGUGAAAUCCUGGAGCUCAACUCCAGAACUGCCUUCGAUACUGGGAGUCUCGAGUCCGGGAGAGGUGAGUGGAACUGCGAGUGUAGAGGUGAAAUUCGUAGAUAUUCGCAAGAACACCAGUGGCGAAGGCGGCUCACUGGCCCGGUACUGACGCUGAGGUGCGAAAGCGUGGGGAGCAAACAGG
rnacentral:rRNA from 1 species